UUGGUGAGGAUGAGAGAGACUCGCCAUUGGUAGACUUUUACCCGAACCAAACCAGAAAAAUGAAAAGAAGAAAAGAAAAAGGAGAGAGAGAGGGAGGGAGAGAUCGUAGCAAGAAAAAGAAAGGAAGAUGAAAAAAAUGUAAAAAUCGAAGAUCUGAUCUUCAAUCAAUCUCGACAUCACCAGGUUCCUACACAGUAACAAGCUCACUGGGCCAAUUCCACCUAAAUUGGGGAACAUGUCCAAGCUAAGCUAUUUGUGAGGGUUCUUACUUUAAAAUAAAAUUUCCAUUUCGGGGAUAUUUGUGUCUAAAUUAUUUCUAAUAGUUUCCUUCUGCUGGCAAUUGAACAACAAUGAACUGGUUGGUAGCAUUCUGGCCGAGCUUAGACAGCUGGAGUUGUUUGAAUUGUGCAUGGCAAAGAUUGAAUGGUUCCAUUCCAUCUGAACUCCUGAAGCUGGAGAGUCUAACAUAUCUAAACUUCUCAUCGAACAAUUUCAAAGGGUGGAUCCCUGUUGAGUUAGGGCGCAUAAUCAAUCUUGAUACUAUGCCUUUGCUCAACUAUUGCAAGCUCCUCAUGAUGAUGCUCAAAUUAUCAUAACAGAUCGUUUCCCUGUCCCCAUAUUGGUUAUUUGUGAUUUGCAUGGUUCCCAGGUUUGUAAAUGUCUUUUGGCUUCAACCUGUGAAAUAGACCACUCUACUUUUAAUUCCUUUAUAUAAUUUCCAUGGAGGUGGGUAUUCUCACUUCUGGAUUACUCAUGAUUCACCCUUCAAUUCCUGCAAAAGGGCCAAUUGCUGUAAGGAUGAGAUAGAUCGCAUGCCCUAUCUAACUACAGGUGACCUCCUUUUUGAUCUGAUUUUAGCAGCCAUUUUUUUUUUCAAUCUUUGGUUGACUAAUCAUUGUGUUUUUGUACCUCUAUUUGGAAACUUGAAAAAUCUCUAGUUCAUUCGAUCAGUUCAUCAAGACUCAAGAAAGAAAGUAAGAAAAAAAAGAAGAAAAA